CAAACUAGCCAAACAAAACUUACCCAUACAAAUUCCAACCAAAACGCAUCUCAUCGCAAACAAAAAAAAUCCCCACAGCAUCUGGAUAAUAAAAGCAAAAAAAAAACUUCCAGUUGGAGGCCAUAUUUAUCCGCGUCACUAUAUUAUCCCCCACAAACCCAAAUGUCAAAUCAAAAAAGAAUGUCAAUUAAUUUUUCCAUUUUAUAUCCCAACAGGAAGAAAGAAAAUCAACGACAAAAAAGGAAUUAAGAAAAAAAAUCUCCCCACAGCUCUUUUUUAUAUUAACCAGAGCAAAAAGAAGAAAUCAAAAAAAAAAAAAAAUUUUCUCCAUCGUGUCCGACGAACGACGACAAACUUUGCUCGCUCUGCGAAAGAAAAUUUGAAAAAGUGAAAAUUUUAUAUUUUUUAUUUUUCUAUAAAAAUGCAUAAAAGAAAAUUCCAAAAAAUGUUAUAUGUGAGAUAGUUAAUAUCCAAAUAAACUUUGUUGUUUGUUAUUUUUUCUUUUUUAACUAUGUUUUUUUAUGUGUUAAAAAAAAUUUUUCCCAAAAAGAAGAGAAUUUGAGCAUUUAUAAAUAAGAAGAAAAAAAAAAUUUAUCGUCGUGAACGUGAAUUUUGGAUGAAAAAUUCACACACACAUACAUUCACAAAAAUAAGCACACAUACAUAUACAAACAAACACACCAACGUAACGUUCAUUUAUUAAGUGAAAAAUCAGAAAGAAAAAGAAAAACGAACAAAAAAAAGGAGAGAUUGAGAGGAAAAACGCAGAAGAAAGAAGCAAGAGGCAAAUAAUAGCAAAGGCAAAGGAAAAGUUGUGAACUUUUUUGCUUGCUACUGCUUCAUCUAUCCAUUCUCCAAAUCUCCUUCAUCCAGCAGCUCCGUGGAGCUCUUCCCCACACACCCUUCUCUUUUUUUCUUAUGCUUUUUUUUUAUUCCCACUAAAUCGUGAGUGAGAAAGACACAAAAAAAAAAAAAAAAAAACCCAGGAAGCAUCAUCUUCUUGAUUAAGACUUCCACAGAGUUUCCAUAGAAUCUCUUCGAAAUCAUGGAAUCAACUCUAAGUGGAGUCGCAUCGAUUCCUCUUUUCUUAGAAUUGAAGAACGAUUGCGACAGUUUGAUGACGCUCAAUGACAAUUCGUUGUCGCAACAAAUCGAAUUUAUCCUCCAAGAUCCAAUUCCGGAUCGUACUCCGCCAGCUACUCCCAAAUUGAAUAUCGACUCAAAUGGCUACUUAAUAAGUCGUACAGAUUCGGGGGGAGGUAAUGGCAACGAUGAGUACCAAAUAAUGGACUCGUCAGUGAUCAAAGUCGAACGAAUGGACGAUGACGACGAUGUUGGUCGCGAAGAGGAGAUAACUACUCUCAAUUCUUCGUCGUCAUCCGGCUUGAAUCACUUGCACCAUAACUCGGAGGAGGUUGGUUCAGUAUCUUUGAUGGAUGCUGCAGCUAUAUCGGAGGACGAGGACGAUGAGGAUGGUAUAUCGCCAUCUUCGUCGUCGGUGUCUAGUUCCUCAAUCCCGAUUAAAAUCGAGGGAACACAGACUUAUUAUUUAAGUCGUAAUUCGACCAUUACAACCACGACCUCCUCCUCCACCAAUACAAACUAUAACAAUAACCACCAUCAUCGUCGACAGUCAUCGAUAGAACAAGCACCCACCACUAGCGGCGGCGGCAGUAGCUGCAGUAGCACUAGCAGCAGCACUGUCAUAGCCACCACUUCGUCGCAAGGUCCACCACCGCCGCCAACACCACCGCAAGAAUACCAAUGUUUUGAGUGUGUGGAAAAGUUCGACAACAAGGAACUUUUUGAGAUCCAUAAAACUGGACAUGCUAAUAAUAUGAAAUGUGCCAUUUGUAAUAUGGUAUUGAAAAGCUUGAAAAACUAUGAGAAACAUUGCUUGCGUUGCAAGCCGUAUGAGUGCCAAAUAUGCGGCAGAGUUGUACGUUUUCGGCCGAAUUUUAUUAAACAUAUGCGUGUUCAUACUGGACAGCAAUCGGAAAGGCACAAAUACAAGUGCGAUGUUUGUUUGAAGGAGUUUAUGAGCUUUGAGUAUUUUAAAGUGCACAAGAAGAUUCACAACGAUAAUGUUAAUUUGACAUGUGAGAUAUGCGGGAAGGUGUUUAGUGCAUUGGCAUCGUUGAGGGGUCAUUCCAAGUUGCAUUCGGGAGUUAAAUUGCACAAAUGCGAUGUUUGCGGCAAAGGCUUUGGUCAACGAUAUAAUUUAAAAAUCCAUGCUCGCACUCACACCGGUGACUUUCCAUUUGAGUGCAAAGUCUGCAAGAAAAAACUUCAUACGCAGUCAAGUCUGCAAACUCACAUGCAAACCCAUCAAAAAGAUCAAACAAGCCAAGUGACCACCACCAUUAAAUACGAGCCACUUGCCGCCGCCGCCGUCAAAGUCGAACCACUCGACGCACAACAAGAACAACAGCAGCAAGAGCUGCACCAUCACCAACAAUUGCUCCAUCAACACGAAAUGCUCAUACAGCCGAAGCAUAAUCAAGAAGUCGAAGAUGUUACAAUGUACUCGCACAACCACAACAAUAAUAAUACAACAGCCAACGCAACAACAAGCACCACCACCGAGGAAUCCUCGAACGAAUCUCAUCAUGAUAACAACAUGACACUUGUGAUAAAGAACGAUGUACAAAACGGGCCUCCCACUCAGGUUACAUACGCACAACAACAGCCGCAUCAUCUGCGGCAUCAACAAAGCCACCAGUUCCAACGGGUCUCAGCAAUAAUUAAGUCCACCGCUGCAUCCAUGUCGUCGCAGUCGCCAACGUCCCUGGUCAUCUCUCCAUCACCAUCGCCAUCAUCUUCGUCGUCCUCGUCACAGUCCGCCUCAUCGCCGGGCUCACACGAAUCGGCUUCAGCCUCGGCAUCCACUUCUGGAGGAGCCCGAGUCGCUCACACAUCGCUAUCAUCAGUGUCAUCAACGUCCUUGAGACACACAAACGAGAACUCACCGUCCCUGGCCACUACGGCCCUACUAAUCAAAAGCGAACCAAAUCUUUACUCCUCAGGUGAUAACUCUGUUGACAUGUUCAUCAAAAAAGAAAUAUUCGACGAGUGCUCAGCACCGUCACAAAACUCUCCACCGACUUCGAAAUAUCAUACGAAUUUCGAUGGCGACGAUUUAGUCGACGCACACGAUCUAACGCAUUCGUUACCUUACUCGAAUCUCUUCGAACCGAACUCGAUUCCAGACAGCAUUCCAGAUGACCUCUACCCGGACGACCCAGACGACUUUCGACUGGACCAUAGCUCUUUGGGCCUACAAUCGUCCACCACCGAUGGGGAUUUCAUCAAGAAGGAGUGGGUUUAUGGGUCCGGGACGGGUUACACGAUCAAUGGCAAGUUCGACGAUGACAGCGACGCUCUCUGUGAUCCUGCCAACUUUAUUUACAAUUAACAAAAGUAAAAAAUAACACUUGUCUUGUCGUCUCGUUGUCAUUGUUGUUGUCAUCUUCACUAUCACCAUAGUGGCGGGUGUCGUCAAUUCAGUAGACCCCCGCUCACUUUUUGUUGUCGAUUUUUAAGCGCAAAAAUGCAUGCAUAAUCUCUAUCUUUCCACCAAAACUAAACGUACUGUGACAUGAGGAGUUCUUUUUAACGCAGCAGCAGGCCAGCAUCAAAUAUAUUUUCCUUAGGGUAUCUACUGCCUCUUCUACGGAAAAAAAUGACAAAAUUCUUCAAAUUGUAUAUUUGUCGCUUCACCUUUGGUACUUUGGGACAGAUUUCUUAUCCAGCUUAAGAGGUCCUGGAACAAGAAAAAAUUAUUUAUUUAUUUUUUUUGUUAUGCAAACUUGCCUAGAUGGUGAAUUUUAUAUGCAUAUUGCCGUAAAUUAAGCUUCACAGACUGCAAGAGAUAAUAAUUUUAUUAUUAUUUAUUUUGUACGCGUACCUAUUUUAAGCAUUUUAUUUGUGUUUUUAUUUUUUGUAUUUAGCUCUUUUUGUAUAAAAUUCUAAACAUACAAAAUCACGUGCAAUCAGCUCGAAGUUUAUAGAUUUAUUAUUUUUUUUUAUUAAUUUUAACAUUUACAUAUUUCUUUAUAUAGAUAUAAUUUUAGAUAAAAAAAAUAUAAACAAAAAAUACAUACAUAAAAUGUGAUUCUUUCACACAAAAAAGUGUAAAAGUAGAUCGAUAAAAGUUAAACUUUAAUUUAUCAUAUUUAAUGUGAAAUUAGUAGAUUAUCUCGAAUUCUUUUUAUUAUUAUAAUAGUUUUAUUAUUUUUUAAAUUUUGCUAAUUAUAUAGUGUAAGUAAUUUGACGACAGAAAAAAUAAAAUGUUGCAAAUCUGUUGAGUAAACAUUUAUUAUAUACACCCACAGGCAGAAUCGAACGCAACUAAAUUUAAUAGAAAACAAAAUUAUUAAAAAAAUAAAUAAAUUUUGAUUUGUAGAAAAAUUCGAAUUUAAGUAUAAAUCCAUGUGUACCUGUGUAAAUUUGAGCAAUAGAAUAAUUUUUAAAAUUAAUAAAAUUAAAUUAAAAUACAAAAGAGAUACACACACACACGCACAUUAAAUUAACCUUACCUCUCCCAGUGAUCAAGGACGAUUUUGUUCUUUUAAAUUAAGUGAUAACUCUUCUUAUAAUUAUGAUUUCUAUUAGCCCAGUAAACAAAGUAACCAACAAUUCAACACCUUGGAAAUCUUAUCCACUGUAUCUUGUCUAGAGAUGAUCUAAAAAAAGUACUUAAGAAAUUCAAGUUAGCUCCAGUAGCAGUAAAGAAGAAGAUGCUGUUUUUUUCUGUUUU